rnacentral:miRNA from 1 species
CUUUCUAGCGUUGCCCACAUU